rnacentral:rRNA from 1 species
UUGAACGCUGGCGGCAGGCCUAACCCAUGCAAGUCGAGCGGAUGAAGGGAGCUUGCUCCUGGAUUCAGCGGCGGACGGGUGAGUAAUGCCUAGGAAUCUGCCUGGUAGUGGGGGAUAACGUCCGGAAACGGGCGCUAAUACCGCAUACGUCCUGAGGGAGAAAGUGGGGGAUCUUCGGACCUCACGCUAUCAGAUGAGCCUAGGUCGGAUUAGCUAGUUGGUGGGGUAAAGGCCUACCAAGGCGACGAUCCGUAACUGGUCUGAGAGGAUGAUCAGUCACACUGGAACUGAGACACGGUCCAGACUCCUACGGGAGGCAGCAGUGGGGAAUGUUGGACAAUGGGCGAAAGCCUGAUCCAGCCAUGCCGCGUGUGUGAAGAAGGUCUUCGGAUUGUAAAGCACUUUAAGUUGGGAGGAAGGGCAGUAAGUUAAUACCUUGCUGUUUUGACGUUACCAACAGAAUAAGCACCGGCUAACUUCGUG